rnacentral:rRNA from 1 species
UACGUAGGUGGCAAGCGUUGUCCGGAUUUACUGGGCGUAAAGGGAGCGUAGGUGGAUAUUUAAGUGGGAUGUGAAAUACUCGGGCUUAACCUGGGUGCUGCAUUCCAAACUGGAUAUCUAGAGUGCAGGAGAGGAAAGUAGAAUUCCUAGUGUAGCGGUGAAAUGCGUAGAGAGUAGGAAGAAUACCAGUGGCGAAGGCGACUUUCUGGACUGUAACUGACACUGAGGCUCGAAAGCGUGGGGAGCAAACAGG